rnacentral:rRNA from 1 species
GACGAACGCUGGCGGCGUGCUUAACACAUGCAAGUCGAACGGUGAAGCCCUUCGGGGUGGAUCAGUGGCGAACGGGUGAGUAACACGUGGGUAACCUGCCCCUCACUCUGGGAUAACUCCGGGAAACCGGGGCUAAUACCGGAUACGACCUCCUUGGGCAUCCUCGGAGGUGGAAAGUUUUUCGGUGAGGGAUGGACCCGCGGCCUAUCAGCUUGUUGGUGGAGGUAAUGGCCUACCAAGGCUUUGACGGGUAGCCGGCCUGAGAGGGCGACCGGCCACACUGGGACUGAGACACGGCCCAGACUCCUACGGGAGGCAGCAGUGGGGAAUAUUGCACAAUGGGCGAAAGCCUGAUGCAGCGACGCCGCGUGAGGGAUGACGGCCUUCGGGUUGUAAACCUCUUUCAGCAGGGACGAAGCGCAAG